rnacentral:misc_RNA from 1 species
GAUGAAGAACGCAGCGAAAUGCGAUACGUAAUGUGAAUUGCAGAAUUCAGUGAAUCAUCGAAUCUUUGAACGCAUAUUGCGCUCUCUGGUAUUCCGGAGAGCAUGCUUGUUUGAGUAUCAGUAAACACCUCAACUCCCUUUCUUCUUGAAAUGGAGCUGGACUUGAGUGAUCCCAACGCUUUAUUCAUAAAGUGGCGGGUUACUUGAAAUGCAGGUGCAGCUGGACUUUUCUCUGAGCUAUAAGCAUAUCUAUUUAGUUUGCCUCAAAACAGAUUAUUACCUUUGCUGCAGCUAACAUAAAGGAGAUUAGUUCUUGUGCUGACUGAUGCAGGAUUCACAAAGACCGCUUCGGCUGUCUUUGUAAACUCGAUCUCAAAUCAAGUAAGACUACCCGCUGAACUUAAGCAUAUCAAUAAGCGAGGA